rnacentral:rRNA from 1 species
AUUGAACGCUGGCGGCAGGCUUAACACAUGCAAGUCGAACGAGUGGCGGACGGGUGGGUAAUGCUUGGGAAUAUAGCUUAUGGAGGGGGCAAACAACGGGAAACUGUAGCUACUACCGCGUACCCUAGGAUGAGCCCAAGUGGGAUUAGGUAGUUGGUGAGGUAAAGGCGCACCAAGCCGCCGAUCUCUAGCUGGUCUGAGAGGAUGCCAAGCCACACUGGGACUGAGACACGGCCCAGACUCCUACGGGAGGCAGCAGUGGGUAAGAUUGCGCAAUGGGGGCAACCUGACGCAGCCAUGCCGCGUGAAUGAAGAAGGCCUUCGGGUUGUAAAGUUCUUUCGGUAGCGAGGCGUUAACUACAGAAGAAGCACCGGCUAACUCCGUGCCAGCAGCCGCGGUAAUAC